GGAAGGGCUAAGUGCUGAGGGCAGUACGUCAUUCUCUCUAAACCAGCACUGAUGAGAAGAGAAAUCAAAUUCAUUGGCGUUCAAACUGUGAUAGUCAAAUUUCCUGAAACCUCAUGGUUCGGAGGGUGACAGCUAGCCAUCCAACUAUGAGAGCUGGUGUCAAAAGCUCUCCGAGGUGAAGUUGUGACAAACUGCCAUACUGUACUUCAGAUUUGGGGUUUAGUAUGAAGUAAGAAUUAAAAGGAAUAUAUUAUUACAAUCUGGCCUAUCACCUCCACCCCUCCGACCCCUCAGUGUGUUGCAGCACAGUUAUCCCCUCAAGACUUCAGGCACGAUGAACAUGCACUACUACUGAUGGGGUCCAAGUUGCCUCUAUUCUGACAACCGCUGUGGGAUCAUCAUGACCAGCAGAACAUAUCAAACCAGCUGCCAGCCUCGGAAUGAGAAACAUGAGGAAAAAAGGACAUCUUGUUUAUGUGGCAAUUUGAAAUAUCAGAUGCACGGAUUAUGCAAAUCUUCACAUGUAGAUCCUUGUGCCUCUUACAUAUGUUUCCCUUUCCCCACCAGACUUCCUCUAAUUACUCAGUUCUCCAGAAUACAAUCAUGAAGCCAGUGGAGUGAUAUAUAGGGAUACACUAAAAUAGUUAAGAAUGCCUCUAUAGGCACCAACCCUAUACUGAGGACAGAAGGCAUGUAUUAGUACACAUUAUUACCAGUGGGUUACCAGUCUUUAAGGUUGUGAAUACAUUCAUAACUCCAACUGAACAAUCAGGGAUACAAACAAUGUCAAUGAAGUUGAUUCACACCUAAGAAGGGGAAUGGAAUCCCUAUGUAGCCAGGUAAUUAAGUGAGUUUGUGUUGGGUUCAGCAUGUGCCAGUCUACUUUCAAUAACAACUCAGAUUUUAAGACAACGUUUCGCCCCUCCCCCAUCCCUGACCAGCCAACCGUAAGUCUCACUGCUUCAUUGCCUCUGACUCCGACUAACAAAAAUAAACAUUGACCUCCGUUUAAUUCAUGCUGCACUACACAUUUCUGCUGUCAAACUGCCAGAAACGACUAAAUUGUUCCUACUUCUUCUCCCCUAUAUGUGUUUAUAUAUCCAUGUAUGUUAUAUCCAUGUAUUUGUCUGCCUUUAUUUUGAUCUAAUAUGUUUAUUUUUUAUUUUAUUUUUAAAUAUAUAUUUUUUAUACAACCUGGUGCUGAGUGAUAUUCCUCAUCUGGGUUGUCAGACAGAGUCACCAUCCAGGGGUUAAAUCAAUGAUAGUAAUGUAGCAGAAAAGCCUGGGACAGUAAACUCAAAUGUGAAGACAUUUCCUGCAGAGAAUCUCCUUGCCUUCAUAUUAAGACCAACACACUUGGGAGAUGGAAGGAAUGGGGAGGGACUUGGGAGGAGGCAAAGGGCUCAAAAAAGAAUGCCAAAAAUAAAAGAUCAACUUUGACUUCUCAUCUUUCUUGCUCCAUCUUCCCAUGAGGAAAGAAUAUAUUCUCCCUUUGAAGUGGAAACUCGAAACAGAGUAAUUGAUUUGGUUCUCAUUUGCCAAUCUCAAGCUGAAGUUCUUGAAGAAAAACAGAUUGAGUCACGUGUGCAAAAAUAACAGAGGUCCAUGAAGUGGAAAUAUUAAAUGAUGAACAGCAAAUUCUGACAAAACUAUUGCCAACACCAUCAAAAUGUAUUCUAAAAGUAUUGAAUGUUUUUGCAUUUUCAACCUAAAAAUCACAUUCAAUGAAGUGAAUGAAGCAGCAUAGGCUACCUUUUGAUCAAGUAAUGGUGGGUUGCGGGCAAACUCUAACCUCCCACUUUCUAUUAAACGAAAGAUCUACAUUCCAUUACAUAUCAUUACUAAUUAGUUAUUAGAGGGAGUUAAGACAUGAAUGGGCGAGCUAGGACGGACGUAGUCAAUAUAACUAUUUGUUCAGCACUUUUGAAAUGUACAGCGACAGAAUUCAGAACAUGGGCCGUUCUUACAGUGUACACCUAGUCAGAACCCCAGGAUAAAUAAAAGAGGCAUAUAAGCAGACAAUGAAAGCUCUUACAAUAUUAAAUGAUUACAUUUCUCAGGUUAAAGGUUAAAGGUUACACGUGCACCACCAAGUCAGAACUGCAGGUGAAAUAAAGAGGUGAAAAUAGGACAAAUUAUUAGAGUGAGGCUGUCAUGCCCUGGUCUUAGUAUUUUGUGUUUUCUUUAUUAUUUUGGUCAGGCCAAGGUGUGACAUGGGUUAAUUAUGUGGUGUGUUUUGUCUUGAGUUUUUUGUAGGUAUUGGCAUUGUGGUAUAGUGGGGUUGUCUAGAAAAGUCUAUGGUUGCCUGAAGUGGUUCUCAAUCAGAGGCAGGUGUUUAUCGUUGUCUCUGAUUGGGAACCAUAUUUAGGCAGCCAUAUUCUUUGAGUGUUUCGUGGGUGAUUGUUCCUGUCUCUGUGUUUGUUUGCACCAGAUAGGCUGUUUAGGUUUUUUCACGGUUAUUGUUUUUGUAUACCGUACAUGUUUUCAUCUUUAUUAAAGAUGUA